rnacentral:lncRNA from 1 species
UACCAGGGAUGCUUCACCACUGAGCCACAUCCGUUUUUAUUUUAUUUGUUUAUUCUGAGACAAGGUUUUCCCAACUUGUUGAGGCUGUCCCUGUACUUGUAAUCCUCCUGCUUCAGCCUCCUGAGUCACUGGGAUUGCAGGCAUGUACCACUAUGCCCAACUGGGUUUAUUUGUUGUUGUUACUGUUGGUUGGUUUGUUCUGUGAUGCUAGGGAUUGAACUCAGUGGUGCUCUACCACUGAGCUACAUCCCUAACCCUUUUUAUUUUCUAUUUUAAGAGGAGAUCUCACUAUGUUGCCUAGACUGACCUCAAAUUUGCCAUCCUCCUGCCUCAGCCUCCCAAGCAGCUGAUGUUACAGAUAUGCACCACUGAACCCUGCUGACAGUCGCUGUGGGUAGGCCCCUUUCAGGUUUCAGCCCCUUGGGGGGCCUGCUGAAGGUGCUAGGGGUCAAGGGCAGAGGCUCAGAGGGAUGGACAGAGCUGCCUUCAGAUCCCAGUUUUGCAAUUCAUUUGACAUGAGACUUCAUUUUUCC